ensembl:lncRNA
AUGUCCGAGUGCACAUUAGCCGAGGGUAAAGUGCACACUCACUGUUUCCCUGGUGCUCGUGUUCUCGAUGUUUCUGCGCAGAUACCCGCAAUCCUGAAGGCCAAUGAGAGCCCCGGAGUUGGAACAGAACUGCUGUCGGACCACAUCUCCAGGACUCUACGCUCCAUAUGACUAGAUUUACAUCCCAUGCUAACUAGGAUUUACACAAGAUUCAGUCUGGAUCGAGAACACCUGAGAAGAGAUGGUGCCAAGCCCUCAGAGGACCUCAGAUGUUGCUAACCCUGAAACAACAAUUUUGCUUUAAGUUUGGUUGCAUCAUAUAAUAAUUGCUGUUAAUAGUGUUCAUCAUCUGUUAGAUUACGUCUUUAAUUGAUUUUUCCAUACAUUUCUGCCAUAUGCACAUAAACUGACAGUCACCACUGAUAAGCUACUACUAAAUAUUGUAGAAACGUAAUUUUCUGUAAAGUUGCUUUGCAGCAAUUUGUAUCAUAAAAAGCACUUUACAAAUAUACUUGAAUUGAAUUUUUGUUUUCGAUUUGAAUUAUUUUUGUUUUAAAGUAGUAAUUUAAAGAUUUCCAUAAGCCCUAUUCGGACGGUAAUUGUUUCUCAGGGGGACGCAAGUGAUUUUCACCAUUUACAAGGGGUUGUCUGUGAUUAUUUGCUGUCUGAAUCCAGGAUGUCAGUGUUUUUCUCUCACCACCCCCGUAAAAAUCCCCGGCCAAAUUUCCUACUGUUUUUUGACAAACACUGAGGUUGUGUGGUAAUUUAAUUGCCGUCUGAAUCCACAUCUCUGAGUUAACAAGAAGAAUUCAAUUCAAAAUUCAGUGCUUAAACCCUUUUUGAGCACUCCCGAACACCGUAAGGUACGUUAACUGUUGUACUUCGGUGUAAUUUGCAUACAUAUUUAUUUCUGAAAUGCUGGAAAGUAUUUAAAAGAACAUUACUUCAUAACUGCUCAAAGUGACUGGGAGCAGAAAGAGAAGAAAAGCACGCAAACAUUUUAAAUGGCUCUUUAUUAUGGCAGCAGCAAGUAUGCAAUACAGUUUUAAAAUGUGUAUUAUAAACGGAUAUAUAGACUAUAUUGCGUAUAAUUAUAUACAACUGUAGCGCGUCAUUUUAAACAGGAG